rnacentral:rRNA from 1 species
GACGAACGCUGGCGGCGUGCCUAAUACAUGCAAGUAGAACGCUGAAGGAGGAGCUUGCUUCUCUGGAUGAGUUGCGAACGGGUGAGUAACGCGUAGGUAACCUGCCUGGUAGCGGGGGAUAACAAUUGGAAACGAUAGCUAAUACCGCAUAAGAGUAGAUGUUGCAUGACAUUUGCUUAAAAGGUGCAAUUGCAUCACUACCAGAUGGACCUGCGUUGUAUUAGCUAGUUGGUGGGGUAACGGCUCACCAAGGCGACGAUACAUAGCCGACCUGAGAGGGUGAUCGGCCACACUGGGACUGAGACACGGCCCAGACUCCUACGGGAGGCAGCAGUAGGGAAUCUUCGGCAAUGGACGGAAGUCUGACCGAGCAACGCCGCGUGAGUGAAGAAGGUUUUCGGAUCGUAAAGCUCUGUUGUAAGAGAAGAACGAGUGUGAGAGUGGAAAGUUCACACUGUGACGGUAUCUUACCAGAAAGAGACGGCUAACUACGUG